rnacentral:rRNA from 1 species
CCUACGGGAGGCAGCAGUGGGGAAUUUUGGACAAUGGGCGCAAGCCUGAUCCAGCUAUUCCGCGUGUGGGAUGACGGCCUUCGGGUUUUAAACCACUUUUGUGGAGAACGUAAAGUCUGUUGAUAAUACCUAUAGAUGAUUGUGGUACUCUAAGAAUAACCACCGGCUAACUACGUGCCAGCAGCCGCGGUAAUACGUAGGGUGCCGUCGUUAAUCGGAAUUACUGGGCGUAAAGGGUGUGCAGGCGGUUUUGCAAGAUUGAUGUGAAAGCCCCGGGCUUAACCUGGGAAAGCCAUACAUGACUGCAAGACUAGAGUGCGUCAGAGGGGGGUGGAAUUCCAAGUGUAGCAGUGAAAUGCGUAGAUAUUUGGAAGAACACCGAUGGCGAAGGCA